AACGAACGCUGGCGGCAUGCCUAACACAUGCAAGUCGAACGAGAUCUUCGGAUCUAGUGGCGCACGGGUGCGUAACGCGUGGGAAUCUGCCCUUGGGUACGGAAUAACUCAGAGAAAUUUGUGCUAAUACCGUAUAAUGUCUUCGGACCAAAGAUUUAUCGCCCAAGGAUGAGCCCGCGUAGGAUUAGCUAGUUGGUGAGGUAAAAGCUCACCAAGGCGACGAUCCUUAGCUGGUCUGAGAGGAUGAUCAGCCACACUGGGACUGAGACACGGCCCAGACUCCUACGGGAGGCAGCAGUGGGGAAUAUUGGACAAUGGGCGAAAGCCUGAUCCAGCAAUGCCGCGUGAGUGAUGAAGGCCCUAGGGUUGUAAAGCUCUUUUACCCGGGAUGAUAAUGACAGUACCGGGAGAAUAAGCUCCGGCUAACUUCGUG
rnacentral:rRNA from 2 species